rnacentral:rRNA from 1 species
GAUGAACGCUAGCGGCAGGCUUAAUACAUGCAAGUCGAGGGGCAGCAGGACUGUAGCAAUACAGUUGCUGGCGACCGGCAAACGGGUGCGGAACACGUACGCAAUCUACCCGAAACUGGGGCAUAGCCCGGGGAAACCCGGAUUAAUACCCCGUAACACUUUGAAGUGGCAUCACUUUAUAGUUAUAGCUCCGGCGGCUUUGGAUGAGCGUGCGGCUGAUUAGGUAGUUGGAGGGGUACCGGCCCCGCAAGCCUACGAUCAGUAACUGGUGUGAGAGCACGACCAGUCACACGGGCACUGAGACACGGGCCCGACUCCUACGGGAGGCAGCAGUAAGGAAUAUUGGUCAAUGGACGCAAGUCUGAACCAGCCAUGCCGCGUGGAGGAUGAAGGCCCUCUGGGUUGUAAACUUCUUUUAUAGGGGACGAAACCUCUUUUUCUUGAGAGACUGACGGUACCCUAGGAAUAAGCACCGGCUAACUCCGUGCCAGCCGCCGCCGUAAGAC